rnacentral:rRNA from 1 species
UACGUAGGUGGCGAGCGUUAUCCGGAUUUACUGGGUGUAAAGGGCGCGUAGGCGGGAAUGCAAGUCAGAUGUGAAAUCCAGGGGCUCAACCCUUGAACUGCAUUUGAAACUGUAUUUCUUGAGUGUCGGAGAGGUUGACGGAAUUCCUAGUGUAGCGGUGAAAUGCGUAGAUAUUAGGAGGAACACCAGUGGCGAAGGCGGUCAACUGGACGAUAACUGACGCUGAGGCGCGAAAGCGUGGGGAGCAAACAGG